rnacentral:rRNA from 1 species
UACGUAGGGGGCAAGCGUUGUCCGGAAUCAUUGGGCGUAAAGAGCUCGUAGGCGGUUUGUCGCGUCUGCUGUGAAAGACCGGGGCUCAACUCCGGUUCUGCAGUGGGUACGGGCAGACUAGAGUGCAGUAGGGGAGACUGGAAUUCCUGGUGUAGCGGUGAAAUGCGCAGAUAUCAGGAGGAACACCGAUGGCGAAGGCAGGUCUCUGGGCUGUAACUGACGCUGGAGGAGCGAAAGCAUGGGGAGCGAACAGG